AUGAACGCUAGCUACAGGCUUAACACAUGCAAGUCGAGGGGCAUCAGGAAGAAAGCUUGCUUUCUUUGCUGGCGACCGGCGCACGGGUGAGUAACACGUAUCCAACCUGCCCUUUACUCGGGGAUAGCCUUUCGAAAGAAAGAUUAAUACCCGAUGGCAUAAUGAUUCCGCAUGGUUUCAUUAUUAAAGGAUUCCGGUAAAGGAUGGGGAUGCGUUCCAUUAGGUUGUUGGUGAGGUAACGGCUCACCAAGCCUUCGAUGGAUAGGGGUUCUGAGAGGAAGGUCCCCCACAUUGGAACUGAGACACGGUCCAAACUCCUACGGGAGGCAGCAGUGAGGAAUAUUGGUCAAUGGGCGCUAGCCUGAACCAGCCAAGUAGCGUGAAGGAUGAAGGCUCUAUGGGUCGUAAACUUCUUUUAUAUAAGAAUAAAGUGCAGUAUGUAUACUGUUUUGUAUGUAUUAUAUGAAUAAGGAUCGGCUAACUCCGUGCCAGCAGCCGCGGUAAUACGGAGGAUCCGAGCGUUAUCCGGAUUUAUUGGGUUUAAAGGGAGCGUAGGUGGACUGGUAAGUCAGUUGUGAAAGUUUGCGGCUCAACCGUAAAAUUGCAGUUGAUACUGUCAGUCUUGAGUACAGUAGAGGUGGGCGGAAUUCGUGGUGUAGCGGUGAAAUGCUUAGAUAUCACGAAGAACUCCGAUUGCGAAGGCAGCUCACUGGACUGCAACUGACACUGAUGCUCGAAAGUGUGGGUAUCAAACAGGAUUAGAUACCCUGGUAGUCCACACAGUAAACGAUGAAUACUCGCUGUUUGCGAUAUACAGUAAGCGGCCAAGCGAAAGCAUUAAGUAUUCCACCUGGGGAGUACGCCGGCAACGGUGAAACUCAAAGGAAUUGACGGGGGCCCGCACAAGCAGUGGAGUAUGUGGUUUAAUUCGAAGCAACGCGAAGAACCUUACCAGGUCUUGACAUCGGAUGCAUACCUAAGAGAUUAGGGAAGUCCUUCGGGACAUCCAGACAGGUGGUGCAUGGUUGUCGUCAGCUCGUGCCGUGAGGUGUCGGCUUAAGUGCCAUAACGAGCGCAACCCUUAUCUUUAGUUACUAACAGGUCAUGCUGAGGACUCUAGAGAGACUGCCGUCGUAAGAUGUGAGGAAGGUGGGGAUGACGUCAAAUCAGCACGGCCCUUACGUCCGGGGCUACACACGUGUUACAAUGGGGGGUACAGAAGGCAGCUAGCGGGUGACCGUAUGCUAAUCCCAAAAUCCUCUCUCAGUUCGGAUCGAAGUCUGCAACCCGACUUCGUGAAGCUGGAUUCGCUAGUAAUCGCGCAUCAGCCACGGCGCGGUGAAUACGUUCCCGGGCCUUGUACACACCGCCCGUCAAGCCAUGGGAGCCGGGGGUACCUGAAGUACGUAACCGCAAGGAUCGUCCUAGGGUAAAACUGGUGACUGGGGCU
rnacentral:rRNA from 1 species